rnacentral:misc_RNA from 1 species
GUGAAUCAUCGAAUUUUUGAACGCAAAUUGCACUCUCUGGUAUUCCGGAGAGUAUGCCUGUUUGAGGGUCAGUUUAAAUAAAAAGCGGUGUGUGGGCUGCGGUUCGUGGUGACGCAGCGGGCUUGGGUCGGCUUGCCUGCGGUUAAGGGACCUAAAAUUUUGCAGGAAUUUUUUCGAACGGAGUGAAAUGAUGUUAAGUACGUUUGCGACAUCGAAUACUAGGUU